GAAAAUCCGACUGAACUGGGAAUAAACAAUCAUCUAAUCAAGCACACACUGAUAAAGAGGAAUCUAGGAAUGACUGCUGCAACCUGAGAGUCAAGGGACAGUGAUGACAGUCGGCAGCAGUGCAAGGCACAGGAAUGGACACGGAUGCAGACAGACUUGGUGGGGAGAAAGUCCAGAUCACACUUCUUCCUCAGCAGCGAUGUCAUUGACUGACAUGAGUACAUGUGUAUGUAACCCUUUAGUUAAGAAUGCCUAAAAGAAACUCAGUGGAAGGCAUGAUGAAAGCUAUGUGACAUGCUAAUACUUCUCAGGAGGACAGGCUAGAGAUACAAACAUAGGAGACGGUAGUACACGGUGGUCAUAAACAGAAAUCAGGAUAGAACUUGUCAUUUAUUACCAGCCAACCCCCAAACCAAACUUCUUUUCCCUGCUAUAUGAUAUUACAGCUGAAUCCUGAGGACAGUUUUGCUUUGUCAGACAAUUUGAUUUUGUCUAGAACAUACUGUGGAGGGAAAGCCAUUAAUAAGAUAAUGUAGACAAUGCACUCAUCUCCAAUGGAAACUUUCCACAAGUAUGGUCCAGAAACUCCAAACUGCUACUUGACAUGACAGCAGCAAUCUGUUAUCCUGUGACCUGAGCCUCUAGCCAAGACUAUGUUGGUUAGUUGUCAAUUAGACAUAAACUAGAGUCAUCUGAAAAGGGGGAACCUUAACUGAGAAAAUGUUGCUCAGAUUGGCCUGGGCAAGCCUAUGGGGCAUUUUCUUGAUUGAUGACUGAUAUGGGAGGCCCAGCCCACUGUGAGUGGGGCCAGCCCUGGACUGUUGGUCAUAGAGUGUAUAAAAAAACAGGCUGAGGAAGCUGGGAGGAGCAAGUCAGUAUGCAGCACUCCUCCACUGAUCUUGCUUCAGUUCCUGCCUGACUCUCCUUCCUGAUGGACGGCAUCUGUGAGCAGAUAAACCCUUUUCUUUUCAGG
rnacentral:lncRNA from 1 species